CAAUAUAAUUUAAACCCGUAAAAACAGUAAUCACAUUUUCGUCAAGCAUUUCCCGCCAUUAAAACACACAUAGAACACAAAAUAAGGAACAAAAUAACACAACACGAUACAGGUAACAGGUCAAAGAAGAAGAAGAGGAAGACAAGAUGGCCGCCGACCUCUCCUUUCCAGGCAAACACACUAUUUUACCGUUUUCUCCACUUGUAAAGCCUGACGGAGGUGUCUGAGGCAGUAUAUCAUGUGGUAAUGGUUCUCCACGCCUUUAGAAACCCACAGUAACCGCCGGAGACCAAGAGAACACGGAGAAAACAGGGAGUGGAGAUUGUGGGCGGAUUUUUCGUGUUUAUAAGCUCAAACUCCAUCCUGGAGCUCCAGAAGAGGCCCUCUGGACUGGGGCCCAAGCAGCGGUGGACUCUCAACAACAACAACAACAACUCCGUCAAGUAACCCAAGAGAGGAGGAAGACCAUGGAGAAUUUACAACAAUAUGCACAGACAACAACAACAAGAAGAAGAAGAAGAGCAAGAAGAUGAGGAGGAGGAAGAGAAUGGAAGAGAAGGAGCAGCACACUAUUGCUCCCACCAUGGAGUCUUAAUGUGUGGAAAUGUUCCAGCGUAGCUAUCAGUAAACAACACCGUCACAAUGGAUAAGACACAGCCCGAAGCAUGACCUCUCACCCGGGUGACCACCAGGUUUUGACGGCACGAGAAUGACAGGUUGAUGUCAAGGCAGUGAAUGGCAUCAUGUCCACUCCACCAACUAUACCUCCACAGCACACACACCCUGCCACCUUGUUUGCCGCAGCGCACGCCUCCUCGUCUUGUGGGAAGGAAAACACCAUCACUCUGGGUCCAGUUUUGAAGCUUCCCUCCCAGUAAGGCACACAGCACUUGUAUGGCAGUAUUGUUAUCUGGCACUGCCGACACAUCCUGAAGGCCUACAACAGCACGCUUGGGGGCAGUGGACAGGUGUUCGCCAUGCCCUGCUACACUAUGCACAUUGGGAACCUCAAGCUGUGCAAGCCUAAGUGUGAGUUACCCGAGGGUUUGGAUUGACUUCAACCUGGGCACCUCCUCCAUCCUCAUCCUGUGCCAGGUGGAGAGCAUGGCCCAGCCCUCCCACCCGGUACUGCCAGAAGAAGACAAGGAGGAGGAGGAGGAAGAGGAAUCAUUUGGUGAGUGUUAAUUUUGUUCUGUUGUUUCCUCCUCCUCUCUCAAUCCUUUUCCUCUUCUCUGAUUCAUUUGCAUUCUACAAUUGUUCCUUCUCUCUCUAUUCUGCUAAAGUCUUCUUCUUCCAUUCCAAGGUCAUGCUCCAACUCCUGCUGUCCCCUCAGAGUAUUCAUUUCCCUCAGGUCAUCUCAUGAGGGACAUUAAGUGACGGCCACACACUUUUCCACAAAUGUUUACACUUCUGAGGUGAUAGGAGGGGACAUUCCAAGGGGUUGAUUUUCAGCAUUUAUAGUCACUGUAGAGU